GACGAACGCUGGCGGCGUGCUUAACACAUGCAAGUCGAACGGAAAGGCCCUGCUUUUGUGGGGUGCUCGAGUGGCGAACGGGUGAGUAACACGUGAGUAACCUGCCCUUGACUUUGGGAUAACUUCAGGAAACUGGGGCUAAUACCGGAUAGGAGCUCCUGCUGCAUGGUGGGGGUUGGAAAGUUUCGGCGGUUGGGGAUGGACUCGCGGCUUAUCAGCUUGUUGGUGGGGUAGUGGCUUACCAAGGCUUUGACGGGUAGCCGGCCUGAGAGGGUGACCGGCCACAUUGGGACUGAGAUACGGCCCAGACUCCUACGGGAGGCAGCAGGGGGGAAUAUUGCACAAUGGGCGGAAGCCUGAUGCAGCAACGCCGCGUGCGGGAUGACGGCCUUCGGGCUGUAAACCGCUUUCGCCUGUGACGAAGCGUGAGUGACGGUAAUGGGUAAAGAAGCACCGGCUAACUACGUG
rnacentral:rRNA from 1 species